rnacentral:rRNA from 1 species
AUUGAACGCUGGCGGCAGGCUUAACACAUGCAAGUCGAGCGAGCGGCGGACGGGUGAGUAAUGUCUGGGAAACUGCCAGCUGGAUGGGGAUAACUACUGGAAACUGUAGCUAAUACCGCAUACCAUCAGAUGUGCCCCGAUGGGAUUAGCUAGUAGGUGGGGUAAUGGCUCACCUAGGCGACGAUCCCUAGCUGGUCUGAGAGGAUGACCAGCCAAAAGGGAACUGAGACAAGGUCCAGACUCCUACGGGAGGCAGCAGUGGGGAAUAUUGCACAAUGGGCGCAAGCCUGAUGCAGCCAUGCCGCGUGUGUGAAGAAGGCCUUCGGGUUGUAAAGCACUUUCAGCGAGGAGGCGUUACUCGCAGAAGAAGCACCGGCUAACUCCGUGCCAGCAGCCGCGGUAAUUC